CCUACGGGAGGCAGCAGUGGGGAAUAUUGCGCAAUGGGCGAAAGCCUGACGCAGCGACGCCGCGUGAGGGAUGAAGGUCUUCGGAUCGUAAACCUCUGUCAGCAGGGAAGAACGGUCACUGUGCUAAUCAGCAGUGAAUUGACGGUACCUGCAAAGGAAGCACCGGCUAACUCCGUGCCAGCAGCCGCGGUAAUACGGAGGGUGCGAGCGUUAAUCGGAAUUACUGGGCGUAAAGCGCUCGUAGGCGGUAUGUCAAGUCAAGGGUGAAAUCCCCGCGCUCAACGUGGGAACUGCCUUUGAAACUGGCAAACUGGAGUGUGUGAGAGGAAAGUGGAAUUCCGGGUGUAGGAGUGAAAUGCGUAGAUAUCUGGAGGAACAUCAGUGGCGAAGGCGACUAUCUGGCACAUAACUGACGCUGAGGAGCGAAAGCGUGGGUAGCAAACAGGAUUAGAUACCCUAGUAGUC
rnacentral:rRNA from 1 species